AUCCCUCUGUCAGUGCAGCUCGUAAAAUUCCCUUGAACAAUUCCCCUUUCUUUUUUGUUCUGAUGUAACUUUGUGUCUAGAACAGGAUGGUGGGCAAAGCUCAGGUAUCACCCUGUGAUAUUUAAACAAGACUUGCAUCGAUGCUAUCACACCUCUUUACUAGACAAGAUUACAGAAGUCAACUUGGAAAAAGAAACAACUUGGAACCACCUCCUCUUCCCGGAUCGCCACUCCACCCACUGCGACAGGGAGUCACUGCGCUCGACGACCACACCAGGACAGAGAGCGUAAACGGGAAUCUGUCUGCACACGAUGAAGACGAAACAUUUGCGAAUGGCGAUUCUGUUUUCUCUGGUGUCGACCUCCGCUCAGCUUCAGUGUCACCCCAUGACUGAGUACGAGCAGGAUGGUGUCUGCUGCAGAAAAUGUGGCCCAGGGACCAAAAUGCUGACCACGGGAGCGUGCCUAAGUCCCAUAUGCCGUCCAUGUGCUGAAGAUGAAUACCAGGACUCCUAUACGACAGCGAGCAAGUGCAAACAGCAACCAUAUUGUGAUCCGAAUAAAAACUUCCAGCCAGUCCAGAGCAAAACAAGGCUGAUCAGCUGUCAGUGCCAAGCAGGAUUCAAGUGCUCCUCUGAACUCUGUGUGACCUGUGUGCUCCGCCGCACCUGUCCACCGGGACAUGAGGCCAUCAACACAAGUGAUCAACUGCAGGACACCGUCUGUGAGAAAUGUCCAGCCGAAACCUUCAGCAGCCAGAGCUCCUGGAACAACACGUGCAAGCGCUGGACCAAAUGUGAGCACGGCGAGGAGACGCCUGGGACCGACACCACCGACAGGAUCUGUAGUGAGUUCAGGCUUGUGGUUCACCACUGUAGAAACCAGUGAGCAAAGAUCGUGACACCUCUCACCCACGUGUUAGCACAUGAAACCAUAGAGACACGAGAUGGUUUUGUUCCACCACACAUCUGUUUAUGAUAGCUAACCCCGAUUCAGACUUUCGAUCCGAAGAAUUUGAUUUCUGAACUAAAACUGAAUGCCGUAAACUACUCAGGCAGGGGGCAGUGGAGUUUACACCACCUCCUUUGCUGGAGCUCCUCAACAGGUGGCCACAAUCUAACAGAUGAUCUCUUUAUAUUGCUCAAUUUGUGAUGAUAAAUCUUAUAGUGUCGACACCGUCAGAAGAACCCCGGAGCCGCGUCGCCAUCAUCAUCGGCGUCGUCAUCAUCCCCGCCAUAAUUGGCAUCGCCGCGUUAGCAAUCUGGUGUUGGAAGAAAAAGUGCAGCCAAGCACCACAGACAAAGGAGGCACCGGCUGAUCCC